rnacentral:rRNA from 1 species
UACGAAGGGGGCUAGCGUUGCUCGGAAUCACUGGGCGUAAAGGGUGCGUAGGCGGGUCUUUAAGUCAGGGGUGAAAUCCUGGAGCUCAACUCCAGAACUGCCUUUGAUACUGAAGAUCUUGAGUUCGGGAGAGGUGAGUGGAACUGCGAGUGUAGAGGUGAAAUUCGUAGAUAUUCGCAGGAACACCAGUGGCGAAGGCGACUCGCUGGUCUUUUGCUGACGCUGAGACGCGAAAGCGUGGGGAGCAAACAGG